AACGCAUCUUGCACUCUUUGGUAGUCCAGAGAGUAUGCCUAUUUGAGAAUCAUAAACACCUAUCCAGCCUAUGUUUUUGUAGGCUGGGAAUUGGGAGAUAUCAGGCUGAUAUUCCUGAAAAGGAUGUGUCUCUUGAGGAUAUGGUUCAGUGUGGUGGUAGAGCCGUGGCUCUCAUAUUCAGCACUAGAAUUCAGCCUCAAUAUAGGGAUAUUAUCUAGCCUAUGUAGGCUAAAUAACCUCAUUAGUGAUCUCAAAUUAGGCAAGACUACCCGCUGAACUUAA
rnacentral:misc_RNA from 1 species